rnacentral:rRNA from 1 species
GAUGAACGCUAGCUACAGGCUUAACACAUGCAAGUCGAGGGACCGGUGCAGGGGUGUGUCACACGUAUCCAACCUGCCCUUUACUCGGGGAUAUCCUUUCGAAAGAAAGAUUAAUACCUGAUAUAAAGUAUGGGGAUGCGAUUCAUUAGGUGGUUGGUGAGGUACCGGCUCACCAAGCCUUCGAUGGAUAGGGGUUCUGAGAGGAAGGUCCCCCACAUUGGAACUGAGACACAGUCCAAAAUCCGACGGUAGGCAGCAGUGAGUAAUAUUGUUCAAUGGGCGCUAGCCUGACCCAGCCAAGUAGCGUGAAUAAUGAAGACUUAUGGAUCUUAUACGUCUUUUAUAUAAGAAUAUGUAUUAUAUGAAUAAGGAUCGGCUAACUCCGUGCCAGCCGCCGCGGUAAUAC